UACAGAGGGGGCAAGCGUUGUUCGGAAUUACUGGGCGUAAAGGGCGCGUAGGCGGCCCGUUAAGUCGAACGUGAAAUCCCCAGGCUCAACCUGGGAACUGCGUCCGAUACUGGCGGGCUUGAAUCCGGGAGAGGGAUGCGGAAUUCCAGGUGUAGCGGUGAAAUGCGUAGAUAUCUGGAGGAACACCGGUGGCGAAGGCGGCAUCCUGGACCGGCAUUGACGCUGAGGCGCGAAAGCCAGGAGAGCAAACGGG
rnacentral:rRNA from 1 species